UAAACACAUUUGCCAAUACGUUAGUGAGGAC
rnacentral:piRNA from 1 species